rnacentral:lncRNA from 1 species
CGUUGGCCAUCUGUAGUCAAACGAGAAAGCAAAAGUGACAAACCGAACAAUUCUAUAUGAUCUCAAAAGUAGAUUAAAUAAAGCCAAAAGUUUAUAAGUAGAAGAAUUAUAUCCAGUCUUAUGAGAUUAUCGAAUAACUCCUCACAUUCCAACCGAAGAGUCAUCGUUAAAUCUAGCAUACGAAAUGAAAGCAGUGAUCCCAC